rnacentral:lncRNA from 1 species
GGCACACUAGGCAGAGUCUUAACUGUCUCUUCAGUAGUGUGUGUAGAUCCUAAUUAACCCUUUGGGAACGUGGAUUCAUUCAAACAGACUUAAUUUAAGGAGGUUAAAGUAAAAUGUGAAUUUGUGUCAGUUAAGUUGUGCUAAAACUUAUCACAAAUCAAAUGACUGUCCUCAAAGGGUUAAAUGUACAAGAAAUCAUUUUUGUCAUUUUACUUUUUUUCUGUUUACUUUUUCCCUCAUUUUUUUCUUUAGUUUUUAUACUUUCCUUCAUAUCAUUUGUUCUGUCAGGUGUUCCCUGGCCAUCGCCUUGCCCAUCUCCUUCCUCUCGCCCACCUUCUCGCUACCAGUCAGGUCCCAACUCUCUUCCACCUCGGGCAGCCACCCCUACACGGCCGCCCUCCAGGCCCCCCUCGAGGCCCUCCAGACCCCCGUCUCACCCCUCUGCUCAUGGUUCUCCAGCUCCUGUCUCUACUAUGCCUAAACGCAUGUCUGCAGAAGGUACAAUACCACGAUUUGUUCAUUUUUGUUUGUCUCUGUUUAGCUCCGUCGUGAGGUUAUGGUUACAAAUAGUCUCCUUUUCACUAGUUAAUAACCUGUAAGUUUGUGUUGUAACUUUAGUUUAUUGA